UGGCGGGUCUUUGAAUUAACCUAUAUAAAGUAAAUAGAUGCAAAACAAUUCAUUAACAUUCCUUGAGUAAACAUGAUUUCAUCAAAUAAGGAUAAUGUGUUCUUGGAGACUGCUGAAUUGGCAUGUUUCUAAUGCUUUGAAUGAACAUGAUUAAGUUGUGUCUGGGGUGGCCUCCAGUCCUGAGGUGGCGCUAGUGCACCACUUUCUAAGACAAGAAGAAGCCGGAAAGUUUCAAGCCAGAGAAUCGUUCGCCUCAGUCAGCCCGGUCCUACUCUUCAGUCUCAUCUCGCUGGAAUAGUGUUGUCAUGUGUGAAGAUAUACACGAAAUUGAGUAAGUAACUGAAGUACUUUCAUUUAUGGUGGGCGAUGUACUACUGCUCUUGUGUCUUUUGUGUGUGGAAGCUGAGCUUAGACUCUACUACAUUUACCCGCGCAGUGCUCUUUGCUUAGUAACAGGUGCACUGCAAACACAUGCAGUUGGCUAUGCCCCAUGUCAUUUUAGAAAAGAAUGGAAAAUAUGUACAUUUAGGAUAUUCAAAGGAUGUAGUAAAAACUGCAAUCUACAAUCUAGCUGGUUAUCUUCAGUUAAUAGCUAUAUUUGCGCGGGAGGGUCUGAUCCGUUAAUGGGGGAGGGGUGGUGAGGGGUAUGCACAGAACUAGAACUUGAUCGAACACGUUGCAUGCUCACGAGAACAGAGGGCUGGCGUCGUUUCGGUGUGUUCAUUUUAAGCCAAGUAUUCUAUUUUUAAAGUUUUCUUUUCUUAUCCAACCCAGGUGUUUAAUGCACACAUGCACUUGUGGUCUUAACCGAAGAUUAAUGAAAUGACUUCUGCUGCACUGUUCGAAGUCUGUAAGAUCAGUGCUGAAUUCAAAAGAAUAACCACAGUUCCCCUGCAAUCCAAGCAACUGUUGCUGAAUUGGCUGAUUUGUACAAGAUGCACCAUUUCUGAGGACUUCUGGCACAGUGGCCUGCACUGUUCAAAGUUUGCAAGAUCAGUGCUGAAUUGAAAAGAAUCACCACAGUCCCACUGCAAUGCCCUGCACUGUUCCAAGUCCACAAGGUCAUGGAUGAAGUUGCCGUAGACGAAGCAAUUGAAGACAUCACUAUUGGAAUCUGCUCUGACAGAAGAUUGGGCAUCCCACCCAAAGGACAUUGUCAGUUUUAGUGUAUGUCUGUCACACACGUGACACCCAAUCGGAAAGGACUCUUUUUUUCAGCAACUAAAAAACAGCAGUUAUUUUUGUUUCUUUAAGUGAAAUGUACCUUUUUUCUAGAGAUCAAUUUGCUUGUAUGCACUUCCAGCUCCUUGCUGGUUUAAGAAUAGUACUUGAGUGUGCAUAUGUUUUGUACAUACUGUGUUGAUUUUGACCCAAA